CAUGUACUUCCUCCGUUCGAAAUUACUUGUCUCGAAAAUGGAUGUAUCUAGAACUAAAAUACAUCUAGAUACAUCCAUUUCUACGACAAGUAAUUCCGAACGGAGGGAGUAGUAG
rnacentral:pre_miRNA from 1 species